AUUGAACGCUGGCGGCAUGCUUUACACAUGCAAGUCGAACGGUAACAGGCCGCAAGGUUCUGACGAGUGGCGAACGGGUGAGUAAUGCAUCUGAACGUGCCCAGUCGUGGGGGUUAACUACUCUUAAGAGUAGCUAAUACCGCAUACGAUCUAUGUAUGAAAGCGGGGGACCGUAAGUCCUCGCUCGAUUUUUGCUUCCGAUGUCAGAUUAGGUAGUUGGUUGUGUAAAGUCUCACCAAGCCAACGAUCUGUAGCUGGUCUGAGAGUACGACCAGCCACAGUGGGACGGAGACACGGCAAAGAAGCCGACGGGAGGAAGCAGUGGGGAAUUUUGGACAAUGGGCGAAAGCAUGAUACAGAAAUGCCGAGUGAAGGAAGAAGGCAUUAGGGUUGUAAACUGCUUUUGUAAGGAACGAAAAGGCUAUGGUUAAUACCCGGGGCUAAUGACGGUACCGUAAGAAUAAGCACCGGCUAACUACGUG
rnacentral:rRNA from 1 species